ACUGUGUCAACGUCUUCUUUCACUGUUUUUGAAUCCAGACCAGAGCACUAACAACGGAUUGGGAUAGGCCUACAAAAACAAAAGCCCGGUCUGUUCUUGCCUUUGGUGAAAAACCCAGCGGUUAAUUUGAUGGAGUCAGUUAUUAUCAACAAGAGCAGUUUGUGGAUUUCAUCAACAUCUUUCAAUACUAAGAAGAAAGUAUAAUCUCUUACUUGUCGUUCUCAAGAGUCUUUCGUAGAGGAAAAAAAGAAGCCAACCAGCCUCAACCCUUCAAGAGGAUUUGGGACUUGAGCAUUAG